rnacentral:lncRNA from 1 species
AACCCUUGAAUCCCCCCUUCUCCCAAUUCUUUCUCAGAAACCCUAGCUAUCACCUUUAAUCACCACCCCAAAAUCGACUAAACCUAUGGUCUCCAAAGCAAUUGAAGGCCUAUGACUGCCUCGUAUGACACAUAUAUGUUCAAGUAUCAUAUUUUCAAGACCAGACCUGGAGGAAGUUUUGUCCAAACCUUGGUCUAUUUCAGUGCUAUAUUGUCUUCCGUCAUAUUCAACCUUGCUCCGGCCAGCCAUGGCUAUUCAAGCCUAAUCUUGACUUCUCCUGCUGGGAUCAAUAACAUUCCAAGCCUUUCUCACCAUCUAGGUUCUUCUGAUACCCUAACCUUUGAGGUUCUUCCAAUUCUUUUAAGAUUCGUUUUAGAUCAAUGUUUUCUCUAAACUCC